GGAUGCGAUCAUUAUAGCACUAAAGUACUGGAUCCCAUCAGAACUCCGAAGUUACGCGUGCUUGGGCGAGAGUAGUACUAGGAUGGGAGAACUCGUGGGAAGUCCUCGUGUUGCUUUCC
rnacentral:rRNA from 2 species